GACUUUGGGAUAACUCAGUCGAUAGAGCAUGAGACUCUUACUCUCAGAGCUGUGGGUUCAAAUCCCACGUUGGUCA